rnacentral:tRNA from 1 species
GGGAGUUUAGCUCAGCUGGGAGAGCAUCUGCCUUACAAGCAGGGGGUCAUAGGUUCGAGCCCUAUAGGUCCCA